rnacentral:rRNA from 1 species
AACGAACGCUGGCGGCAUGCCUAACACAUGCAAGUCGAACGAGAACUUCGGGUCUGGUGGCGCACGGGUGCGUAAGGCGUGGGAACCUGCCCUUAGGUUCGGAAUAGCUCCCCGAAAGGGGUGCUAAUACCGGAUAAUGUCUUCGGACCAAAGAUUUAUCGACUGUGGAUGGGCCCGCGUUGGAUUAGCUAGUUGGUAGGGUAAAGCCUACUAAGGCGACGAUCCAUAGCUGGUCUGAGAGGAUGAUCAGCCACACUGGGACUGAGACACGGCCCAGACUCCUACGGGAGGCAGCAGUGGGGAAUAUUGGACUAUGGGCGAAAGCCUGAUCCAGCAAUGCCGCGUGAGUGAUGAAGGCCUUAGGGUUGUAAAGCUCUUUUACCCGGGAUGAUAAUGACAGUACCGGGAGAAUAAGCUCCGGCUAACUCCGUG